rnacentral:rRNA from 1 species
GACGAACGCUGGCGGCGUGCUUAACACAUGCAAGUCGAACGGUAAGGCCCUUCGGGGUACACGAGUGGCGAACGGGUGAGUAACACGUGGGUGAUCUGCCCUGCACUUCGGGAUAAGCCUGGGAAACUGGGUCUAAUUCCGGAUAGGACCACUGCCUGCAUGGGUGGUGGUGGAAAGCUUUUGCGGUGUGGGAUGGGCCCGCGGCCUAUCAGCUUGUUGGGGGGGUGAUGGCCUACCAAGGCGACGACGGGUAGCCGGCCUGAGAGGGGGACCGGCCACACUGGGACUGAGAUACGGCCCAGACUCCUACGGGAGGCAGCAGUGGGGAAUAUUGCACAAUGGGCGCAAGCCUGAUGCAGCGACGCCGCGUGAGGGAUGACGGCCUUCGGGUUGUAAACCUCUUUCAGCACCGACGAAGCGCAAGUGACGGUAGGUGCAGAAGAAGGACCGGCCAACUACGUGCCAGCAGCCGCCGUAA